CCGGGAAGGCGGAUUGGAGGAAAGGAAGAGAGGUGCGUGUCACUGCGGCUGGAAUCAGGGCCGACCUGCACGCCCCGCCCGAGAGCCGAAGGCGCCAGGCGGGCACAGGGCUAGCUAGCCAUGGUCGGGGGCGGAUGGGCCGCCCCCGCCUCUGCAGCGGCAUUUUUCUAAGGGGGCUGCAGCCUGUGAAAGCGAGAUGGGGGAACUGCAAAAUGGGGGCUUCUGGGAACCCUCUGAGGAGGAGACCUACUUUCUCCCAUUUCGCAGCCUGGUUCUCAGUGCGGAAACCAAGUGGCGGGGAGAGUAGUAACAGAGGAGAGACUUCUUCCCCGACUCAAGUCCUUGAAGCUCAAGGAGCUUCCCGAGACUCAGCGCAGACACGGUCUCCCUUUCCCAGCCUUAACGUCUCCUCAAGCUAAAGAGACCUCUUCCCACUCUUGGUCGGCCGCGUAGUGAUCUCACUACCCCCUCUCGCGUUUCAGCCGUCUUGCUCCGGAAAAUGUGCCCCCCCACAACGUCUCUCACAGACUCAAAGUCCAUCGACAUAUUUUGAAGUCCUGCUAUUAUUAGUUUUCUUUCUAGAAACCUUCUUUCAAAUAUUUUUCUCCAAGAACUCAAGCAAAAGAGUAAACUAGUCACCUUAAAGGGCAGCUCUAUUAUUUGCACAGAAGGACACGAAUAGACAGGUCUUUUAUCCUAAGUUUUCAUUAACUUUCUGCAUCAAAGCAAGGACGCCAGGGAUAAUAAUAAUCAUUAUUACUAUUGUCAGUUUCACUGUUGGUUCCUAGCCCGUGAUAGCAUUUUAAGAGAACAGCAUUUAGAUCAAAUUUGUUGCCAUUAGUAAGAAGGGAGAGAAAGACAGAUAUGUAAUUCAUGGAGCCUUUAUGGAACACCUCCUCUGUAGAAGGCAUCUGCACUAUAUACUAGAGAAUUUAAAUGAUUUGAAAAUGCAUUCUAAGUGGUGAAGAAUCUUCCUGUUAAACAUAUUUAGACAGAGAAUAAAAAGAAUGUUCUGUAUUUAAAAUGAACGUUUUUUGGAUCUUGUCUAAGGGCAAGGCUUAUGCAAACUGCCAGAGUCUCCUAAGGAAAAAAAAAAAAGGGGUGAAGGUUGUCAUUUCCCUCCCAAAGACAAAUGAAAAUGUUUUGGUUUUUACAACAAAGUCCUCCUUUCUCCCCUUGGUACACAUCAAAUACCGCUUAGUGAGCCAAGUUUACUUAAUGGUUCCCCCACUUUGUCUUGUUGGUAAUAAAGGGAAGUUGAGAUUUCAGAAUAGAAGGGAGAUUUAGUUGAGUUGUCCAACAGAUAAUUGUCCUAGGGUAGAAAAAGCAGUGUUUUGUGGGGGAAGGUAGAAAAAUAAAAAGGGGAUGUGUUUUGGGAAAACUCUUAGAAGUGUUUUGGCUGUAUCUAAAUUUUUGUUUCUUUGUUAUUUUACUUGCUAUUGAGACGCUUCUGCUUCAAGAGUUCUCAAGUCAUUGGAGCCUGGUGAAAGGCAAAGCCUUCUCUGGGGAUCGUUAGGAGGGAAAGACCAGUGGAUUAUGAGUAUUUCCACCCCAUCAUCUCCAUACACAUUGAGGAAAUGAUAAAAAGGAGCAGACAGAAGAAAGUUAAGAUCCUGGCUGUGAGGUGGUGUAAAUCGUCAGGUCUGAUAGUGAUUUUAAAAAGCAAGCGCAGCUUCUGUGAACAUUUUCUUAGAAAUGAGCAACGGACUGAAAGAAGUGUUAAAACAUUCUGCAGGCAGAGAUGGCCUUGAAGAGGCGGCCCGAAUCAUACAAAAAUGAACAGAGAUCUUCAUGCAAUAGAUUGGUUCAGGGUCUGGGAGGAGAAAGGGCCAGUCAGAAAACCAAUCCACCUCUCUCCUCUUGGCUUGCCAUAGUCCCACCCUGGGAAGAAGUACAUUUCAGAAGCUGGAGCCAAAACGUUUGCGUUAUUUGGGGCCAAAACGAUGUAAGAUUUAGCAAUAUCACCACUUCCUAAAUGCUAUCUUCCCCUACAAUGAGUAACUCUGGUGAUUCCUAAAAUUAACACGGAGGCAAAACAAACUGCAAGUUGUGAAGUUUAAAAGAGGAGAAGAGGAGGUAAAAAAAAAAAAAAAAAAAAAAAAAAGCCCUACCCGGUCCGUCAUUAAUUCAUCGGGAAAUUUCCGAAUAGACAUUCUAAAUUUGCAGACAAAAUUAGCAAAAGCAUCCACUGGGGCAUUGGGGUGUAUUUCAAUUUCCCCAAAGUAGGUUUCCAACCCUGAGGGGACCCCCUACUGCCUCCCAGGUGUAUGAUUUCAUUCUUUUCCUGCACUACUGUCCUCAGUUUCUGCUACCUCAGCUGAGGAAAUGGAAGGAAAAUGGUUCAAACAGACGCUGCCUGAAGAAAAGAGAAAUUGGCAGAAUUAAAUGGAACUUGAAGAGUUUGCAGAAGCCGGGUUGAGUGGUCUUCUUAAAGUGUUAGUUGGGAGCAGGACUUCCCCAUUCAGCUACUCAGGCUGGACAAAGGCAAAGUAUUGUCUAUCAAGCUCGCCUCUGCUGGGUUAAUCGCACUCCGGAAAAUACUCCCAGAACUUCGCAAAGGAAAAAUUAUAAAACUGCGUGGUGCUCUUUCAAACGAAUUCGCUGGAUCUGGAAUUAAUUGCCCUGGUCGCCAGAGAAUUGAAACGGAAGAAAUUAUUCCUGAGACGAACUUGCAAGGAUGAGAACACUGGCCCUUGCAUCUCAGAAAGAG